CCAGACUCCUACGGGAGGCAGCAGUGGGGUAUAUUGGGCAAUGGGCGCAAGCCUGACCCAGCAACGCCGCGUGAAGGAAGAAGGCUUUCGGGUUGUAAACUUCUUUUAAGAGGGAAGAGCAGAAGACGGUACCUCUUGAAUAAGCCACGGCUAACUACGUGCCAGCAGCCGCGGUAAUACGUAGGUGGCAAGCGUUGUCCGGAUUUACUGGGUGUAAAGGGCGUGUAGCCGGGCUGACAAGUCAGAUGUGAAAUUCCGGGGCGCAACCCCGGACCGGCAUUUGAAACUGUUGGUCUUGAGUAUCGGAGAGGCAGGCGGAAGUCCUAGUGUAGCGGUGAAAUGCGUAGAUAUUAGGAGGAACACCAGUGGCGAAGGCGGCCUGCUGGACGACAACUGACGGUGAGGCGCGAAAGCGUGGGGAGCAAACAGGAUUAGACACCCCAGUACAC
rnacentral:rRNA from 1 species